rnacentral:rRNA from 1 species
UACGUAGGUGGCAAGCGUUGUCCGGAAUUACUGGGUGUAAAGCGCGCGUAGGCGGUAGGCCAAGUCUGCUGUGAAAUCGCCCGGCUCAACUGGGCGCGGUCGGUGGAAACUGGUCAACUGGAGGACGGUAGAGGCGAGUGGAAUUCCCGGUGUAGUGGUGAAAUGCGUAGAGAUCGGGAGGAACACCAGUGGCGAAGGCGGCUCGCUGGGCCGGAGCUGACGCUGAGGCGCGAAGGCGUGGGGAGCGAACGGG